rnacentral:lncRNA from 1 species
GAAACCCAGCAGCCCCUCAAGGAGUGAUGACCGGCAGAGUCUCCCAGAAGAUGGCAGGGAAGUGAGGCAGCCCUGCAGAGGGACUUGACUCGGGCAGGAGGAAGCGUUCUCACACAGAGGGACAGCAUCUGCAGCGACAGAGACAGGCUCGCUUUGUUGAGGGAGCAGCUGUUGGCCACUUGCUCACUGGCUUGGGCUAAUCCCUCUUUUGAGUGGGAGCUGGAAGCCGGGAUUCUAAAAUAAAGGAAACCGGAGAAGCA